rnacentral:rRNA from 1 species
GACGGGGGCCCGCACAAGCGGUGGAGUAUGUGGUUAAUUCGAUGCAACGCGAAGAACUUACCUGGUCUUGACAUCCCGGAGACCCUUAGGAAACUAGGGGGUGCUUCCAUCUGGAAGAAUCUGGAGACAGGUGCUGCAUGGCUGUCGUCAGCUCGUGUCGUGAGAUGUUGGGUUAAGUCCCGCAACGAGCGCAACCCUUGCCUUUAGUUGCCAGCAGUUCGGCUGGGCACUCUAAAGGGACUGCCGGUGUUAAACCGGAGGAAGGUGGGGAUGACGUCAAGUCCUCAUGGCCUUUAUGACCAGGGCUACACACGUACUACAAUGGCCGAUACAAAGGGCAGCGACACUGCGAGGUGAAGCCAAUCCCGUAAAAUCGGUCUCAGUCCGGAUUGGAGUCUGCAACUCGACUCCAUGAAGUUGGAAUCGCUAGUAAUCGUGGAUCAGCAUGCCACGGUGAAUACGUUCCCGGGCCUU